UUUUGCAAGCUUUAUGAUAGC
rnacentral:piRNA from 1 species